rnacentral:rRNA from 1 species
AUGGAGACACUUCAUAGGAAGUUUGAUAAAGUCUUGGAAUGUUUGGUUAAGUUGGCAGGAGACAUAAUUCGCCCACUAGAUCCACAGUUUAGGACACCUCAUCCAAGAGUCCAAAAUCCAAUGUUUGCUCCGUUCUUUGACAAUUGCAUUGGAGCCAUUGAUGGAACACAUAUAGAGGUGGUUGUGCCAAAGACAGACCUCAUCACACACAUGAACCGAAAAUCAACUACUACUCAAAAUGUGCUAGCAAUUUGUGAUUUUGACUUGAGAUUCACCUUCAUCGUUACUAGGUGGCCUGGGUCGGUUCAUGACAUGAGGGCGUUCAAGGCAGCACUAGACAAAUUUGGCAGCCACUUCCCACAUCCUCCCCAAGGUACAUUUAGAUUGCAGUACACAUUUCUUUGA